AUUUCCUUCCACCUGAACAGUCUGGGUCAACACAUGAGACGUCCCCAGGUGCCUUUGCAUUUGCUGACCAAUGGUCACUUCUGUUGCUGCCAUCUAAGAGCUCAGAGGGAGAUCCACUCUCGAGUCCAGGGCCAGAAGCAGGCUGGAGUGCACUGGCACGAUCUUGGCUCACUGCAACCUCCACCUUCCGGGUUCAAGCAAUUCUCCUGCCUCAGCCUCCCAAGUAGCUGGGAUUACAGACACACGCCACCAUACCCAGCUAAUUUUUGUAUUGUUAGAAGAGACGGGGUUUUGGUUUCGCCAUGUUGGCCAGGCUGGUCUCAAACUGUGAUCUGCCCACCUCGGCCUCCCAAAGUACUGGUAUUACAGGUGUGAGCUACGGCACCCGGCCUGACUGGUGUCUUUAUAAGAAGAGGAGAUGAAGACAAGAGACACACACAGAGGAGGCGUGGGGAGAGACCAACCCUGCCGUCACCUUGAUCCUGGACUUCCAGCCUCCAGAACUAUUUCUCCUGUACUUUAAAGAAGUCUUAUCUUCACCAGUUCAUCCUGACUUUCAAGGCUGGAAUCAAAAAUAGAAGAGAACAUUAGAGUGAUGGUGUGACUUCCAUCAAAGCUGGAGCUGGUUGUGUGGGAUGUCAGACGAAAAGUCAAUGGGGGGUCUAUGAGAGGUACUUCAACUUGUUUCAGUAUUAAGCGUAUAUUAGGCACACUCAAUCAAU